rnacentral:rRNA from 1 species
UACGUAGGGUGCAAGCGUUAAUCGGAAUUACUGGGCGUAAAGCGUGCGCAGGCGGUUAUGUAAGACAGAUGUGAAAUGCCCGGGCUUAACCUGGGAACUGCAUUUGUGACUGCAUGGCUAGAGUUUGGCAGAGGGGGUAGAAUUCCACGUGUAGCAGUGAAAUGCGUAGAUAUGUGGAGGAACACCGAGGCGAAGGCAGCCCCC